CCUAUCCCGAAGAGUGGUGCUGCCGGAAGUCUCCGACCCCGCCUUCUCCAGCGCGGCGGAGGGCGCCGCAGGAGCACCGAGAAGGGCGGAGGGAGAAAAGGAGGGGACUACGGUAUCGGUAGUGGUCCAAACCCUGUCCUUCCACCGCGUUGCAGAGCCACGACUGCCUUCGGAUGGCAAGGUGCCGAGCGGGAUUCGAGGAGGGUGGAGGAGGGGUAAGGAACACCGCUCGGUGGACGCCCGGCCCAGUGAAACCUCUUUUCCAAGCAAGCAGCCUUUCCAGGGCUGACAGGAAAAAGGUUCAAUAAGCGAGGCUGAAAAAAAUGGAGAGUCUGAUCUUCAAAUUCACAUGGAAUUUCAAGGGACCCACAAAUAGCCAAAACAACCUUGAAAAAAGAAGAACACAUUUGGAGGACACACACUUCUUGAUUUCAGAACCUACUAUAAAAUUACAGCAAUCAGAACUGUAGUAAAGCCAUAAGGAUAAACAUACAGACCAAUGGAAUAGAAUUAAGAGGCUAGAAAUAGGGCACCUGGGAAGCUCAGUCGGUUAAGCGUCUGACUCUUGAUUUCGACUCCGGUCAUGAUCUCAUGAUUCGUGGGAUCAAGCACGCUGUCAGUGCAGAGCCUGCUUGGGAUUCUCUCACUCUCCCCCUUCUCUGCCCCUCCUUCUCGAGUGUGCUCUCUCUC